rfam:Phytophthora infestans T30-4 supercont1.6 genomic scaffold, whole genome shotgun sequence.
GGGCGCAUAGCGCAGUGGUAGCGCGUCCGCUUUGCAAGCGGAAGGCCCCGGGUUUAAUCCCCGGUGUGUCCA